CCUACGGGUGGCAGCAGUGAGGAAUAUUGGUCAAUGGCCGGAAGGCUGAACCAGCCAUGCCGCGUGAAGGGCAGGGUCCUAUGGGCGUUAAACUUCUUUUGUGCGGGAGCAAUAAUGGUCACGUGUGGCCAGACGAGAGUACCGUACGAAUAAGCAUCGGCUAACUCCGUGCAAGCAGCCGCGGUAAGACGGGGGAUGCAAGCGUUAUCCGGGUUGAUUGGGUUGAAAGGGGGCGUAGGCUGUGAGGUAAGUCAGCGGUGAAAUGCCCCCGCUCAACGGGGUGAAGUGCCAUUGAUACUGCCUUGCUGGAAUGCGGAUGCCGUGGGAGGAAUGUGUGGUGUAGCGGUGAAAUGCAUAGAUAUCACACAGAACACCGAUUGCGAAGGCAUCUCACGAAUCCGCGAUUGACGCUGAUGCACGAAAGCGUGGGUAUCAAACAGGAUUAGAUACCCUGGUAGUC
rnacentral:rRNA from 1 species